UUUGGUGGUCAUAGCGCGAGCAAAACACCCGGCUCCAUUCCGAACCCGAUCGUUAAGUGCCGUAGCGCCGAUGGUACUGCGUCUUAAGACGUGGGAGAGUAGGUCACCGCCAAAC
rnacentral:rRNA from 1 species